AGCUCGGGGUGCGUGUGCGCGGCGGCGGCAGUAGAGGGAAGCGUCCGUGCAGAGAAGGAAGUGAGCUAAAGGGACUAGGGGAAGAGCGUGUAACGGAGGAGGGUAAGGAAGGGGGGAAUGAGCGUGCCUCCACCGACGUCCUCUACGCACCGUCUCCUCCAAGCACGUCCCCCACUACCACCACCCUCACCCCUCAUUCUUUCUCGUACCUCCGCCGCCGCCGAUCCUUCUCGCACACGCACUGGUCGCGUCCUCCGAAGUAGCGGAGCACCGAGUAGUUCGAGGAGGAGAGGUUCCCGGUGAUUUACCAGGCGCCUAGGCAGGUAGGGUCGGGGAGCUUCUAGGUUGGAGUCGAGUACGAGCGCGACGAGGGUGGGGUGCUGCGGCAGACGCAGCUUGACUUUCGGGUGCCUCCUGCCCCUGCUCCAGUCCCACCUCUACACCUAGUAAAAGAAACCUAGGGGUUGACUUCUCAAACUUCCUCAAAGACGUCUCGUGGAUCUACAGUUACUUACACGCAUCUCAGGUCCGGGGACGGUACCGAGACGUUGAACGGUGUUGUGUCAACCUCCCAAGGUAACAAGUACGGGAAAACAGUGGUCAAAACGAUUCCUUUGUUUGAGGACGCGGUUAGUCAAAUAUUCAGUCCUCAACUCGUCCCGUGUUAGACACCGUCCUGGCGUAAGAGGGUGAGGAAACAGAGUUUCGUUUUCUUCGAGCGACGGAAACGGACCUCUCUCGUCUUCAAAGAAAAUAGAUUAGGUUCUACUAGAUAAGUACUAAUUUUGUCGCUCCUUUAGUCUUCAGCUCACGUUCCCGACGUACAGGAAUAUUUCGAAAAAUUACCCAACUCCAUUCACGCCCUACCUACUUUGACGAGUCAUGGCAGAUUAGACCGUUAGACCUAAUACUAGCCAAGUUGAUAAAACACCAAGGUCAAGAUGAUUAACUUCGGCCACUCAACCACAUACGAACUGCACUUAGACCAAGAGCGAAGUUAAGGGGGACAAAGUGGAGGUCUAGAUGAGUAGCCCUCUACCUAAGGAACGUCACUCUCCGACCAGACUGCGACAACAACUAUUAGUAGGUAUGGAUAAGACCUGUACCUGCUUCAUGUGUGUACAUGUGUGUCGAAAAAAACUAGGCAACGUAUAGUUUCGAAGUAAGUCUGCUACCUGACAGAACGAGAUGAAGCUUUAGUUUUGUCCCCUUUUUGUCCGCCGACUACGUCUUGUUCCCUUCCUCAUCGUCGAUAGACGACAAAGUCAACAAAUACACGCGACUUCUAACAAGUAUGGGCAUGGGACUUCUUUCUUCUGUGUUCUAUCUAAGAUCUAUAUGGACCUUAUACAAGUAGGCCCAAGUCAAUUAUUCACGUAAUCAGUUGUAACACCACGUUACUGUCUUAGACAACAGGUGUUGAAGUGGACGGUAUAGGAAUUCCCAGAACUAAAGGAUGUCUCGGUUUUUUAAUACGUAUCUAGACCUUUAUUCAAAUUUCCUUUCUAAAUCUUCCACUUCCUCGACUAUUUCUCGUACGAUUUAAGAGUGACAGAAUUAGUAAAAAGCACAUGUUAUGGUAAGUACAUAUCCAAACCUCGAAACACGGCUGUUCUUAAGAGACUAACCGUAGUAAACGUCAUUGACACCACUAGGUCCUGCGAAAGUUCUAAUGUUCAAGUCAUCACCGUUGAACUUGAAUACAUUCUUAUUUGUCUUACUAAAAAGUAAGACUUCUCAAAGGAUUGACAACUGAAAUUCGGAAGUAUCAAUGUAGCACCCUAAUACUUAUUCUACCACGAUUAAUAUGAAACUCACUUAAAGACCACACAUAAUAAGUCUGACCGGGAACUUGAUUUAUUUCUUUUCAGUUUCUAUCGCACGUCAACGUCCUCA
rnacentral:rRNA from 1 species